CCCUUUCAUGCGUGAGUUCCAAAUAUCUCUAACGGUCGCCCCAGCGUGAGUUUUUUUAUGCACGUGAUGUUAGAAUGUUCUCUCCAUUCCAGAAUGUGAUUGAUACGUAACAGUACAUUUGAUCCGCGCUGCCCUCAAACUAAAGCACGCAGCCUGUUUAUAUUUAUAAGUUGUUUUAACUUCAAUUUAAAAUGAUUUUCAAACAAGUUUUUAUUUUCUAAAAACAGUUUGAAUUUAGGUGUGUUCCGCCUCCUCAUUCAUUCACAUAAAAAUAGUCAUUUUUACUUUUGCGGAUAAUUACAUUUUUGGGACAUUUCUGACAGGGACAAAAUUCCCCAAGCACUUCCCAAUUGUUUGUGCAGUUCACGUCUGCAGACAUUUGCUCAUCUCCCGUCAGAACAGGAUCUGCACACGUGUUCACAUUUUCUAUUCCACAUUUCUAUUGUAGCGUACUGUAUGUAUAGAGCAUAAUAUAUUUGUGUAUAUUCUUUAUCACCGCGGAAACGUGAGGUAACGUUACUCAUUUUAUAACCUUUAUGAUGUUAUAGUCAAUCGUGCUUAUGUAGCCACAUUCUUCUAUUAGCUCUGUAAAACAAUGCUAAAUGCGUCAGAGAAGUAUUAUCUUGUGUUGCAUUUUGAAGCUACCAUGGCCUUAUGACUCUCAAGUGGUGCAGCGGUCAAAGGCACAGCACAUCAGUACUAGAGGUGUCACUACAGACUCCCUGGUUCAAAUCCAGGCUGCGUUUCCAUCAAAGUAAGUGCCUUAUUACGUUAUAAUAGUUAUAAUAAUAGUUUCCGUAUGCCGUUUCUGCUGUAGCUGUAGAUCAUAAUAUAUUCCUUAUAACUGCGGACACGUGAGGUAACGUUACACAUUUUAUAACCUUUAUGGUGUUAUUGUCAAUCAUGCUUACCUAGCUACAUUAUUCUAUUAGCUCUGUAAAACAAUGCUAGUUGCGUCAGAAAACUAUUAGCUUGUGUUGUAUUUUGAAGCUACCCUGGCCUUAUGACUCCCAAGUGGCGCAGCGGUCUAUGGCACUACAGACACCCUGGUUCAAAUCCAGGCUGUAUCACACCUGGCUGUGAUUGGGAGUCCCAUAGUGCAGCGCACAAUUGGCCCAGCGUUGUCCGAGUUUGGCCGGUGUAGGCCAUCAUUGUAAAUAAUAAUUUGUUCUUACAUUACUUGCCUAGUUAAAUAAAUAAAAAAUAUGACCAUGGUUUGUUUAUUUGGUCUAUUCAGCAUAGCUCUGUUCUGCCCUGCCUUGCCCCCUUGUGGAGCUCAAAAGUUAGUUUCUUACUGUUAUAACUCAAAUCUGUGAUUUUGUCAAUGCAAUAAACUAUUUUUUUUUAUAGCAGUGUUUAUUAUGUUACUUCUUUGUAGUAUUGUUUUAUUGCUAUAUCCUUAUAUUGUAUUCUAAUGAAUAAUUCCUCUUUAUUCUGUACUUUCAGAAACCAGAAACAUUAUUUGCCAAUAUCAUAACUGGAGCUGGACAUCUUUGGAGCUGAAGAAUGAGGACAGCUUUUGUAUGCUAACGUACACUCCUUAACAGUUGUACUGGAUGAAAACACAGCAAGAAAACGCAUGCCAAUAUUGACUGAACAACAACUGCAUUUCCACCCCCAUCUCUAAGGCAUAGUAUCAUGGCUGGUCACCUGUCAAGUCACAUGUCAGGCAGACUUUGCAAUGCCUCCGUGUGCGACUACCUUGAGAAGCAGUUUGAGGGACUUUGCAGGGAAAAUGUCGUGCAGUGAGGCGUAGGGGAUUGUCUACAGCAGGACGACCCCCAGUGGAUGGGCGCCGAGGGGUGUGGUGCUCCUCCAGCAGCUCUCUCAUGAGGUUCUCUCUGUAUUUUUGGUGGUCCACCUUCCCUGUGGCCCGACAUGGUUGCUGUAUGGACAGUGGAGAGGACAUGGACGUCUCGCUUGUCAUGCCACUUUACUGCCAGCUGUUGACCGUUCUCUUGGAACUCCACCUCCCCUCUCUGCAUCUUCCUGCAUCCGAAUGCCGGCAUCCCCUUCCUGUUCGACCUGACUGUGCCACAUGCCCCUGUGCUGUUGGAGAGCAGAUGCUGGAAGAGUGUGGGACUGCUGUACCAAUUGUCCACGUACAAAGUGUGUCCCUUGCCGAGAUGAGGAGCCAGCAUGGUCAUCACCACGGACCCUGACACCCCAAGCCCAUCAUAAUGUUUGAUGUCAGUGGUGGACCCUGUGUAAACUAUAAUAUCCUGGACAAAUCCUGUCUUCACGUCGCACAUGACAAAGAACUUGACUCCAAACCUGUGCCUUUUGGAGGGAAUAUAUUGACGGAACGCCAGCCUACCUUUCCAUAACAUCAGGGACUCAUCAAUGCAUAGGUCCUUGUAUGGCACAAAGACCCGACCAAAUGCUGAUGUCAGGCUGAUAAGAACAUUUCUUAUUUUGUAUAACGGGUCACUUAGGAUGGCAGUAGCAUUGUUGACAAAAUGCAGGCAUCGCAGAAGAACUAGGAAGCGAUCUUGGGAAAAGAGGGAGGCAAAGAAGGGAGUUGCAAACAUAGGAUCUGUGCUCCAGUAUUCUCUUAGGGAGUUCUUCUUUACUAUUCCCAUGAGAAGGACUGUCACCAGGAAGGUAUACAUUUCACUAAUUGUGGUUGUCACCCAUUUAGCGAGUUUCCCCCUCACUCCUGGCUCUCUCUUCUCCUGUAGCUCUAAGGCAUAGCGAUUGGUCUCCUCAACUAUCUCUCCCACCAGCUCCUCUGUGAGAAACAACUUGAAGCACUCUGCCUCAGUUGGAAAUGGCAAGGGGCGUUGCACUCCAGACUGGGACUCGUCAAAGCAGACAGCAGGGCCAGGUGGGGUGAAAUGACUGGUGGCCUUCCAGCUACCACAGAACUCCUGUACUUCAUCCACUGUCGGCCUGCCUCCAUCACCACCAGCAUCUUCAAAGGGACCUGGUACUUCCUCAGUUGACAAGGGAAAUUUAGAUUCAGGGUUCUCAAUGGCUACAAGGUU